CUGCCUGGGGUGGUGGGGUGGACUGAGAGACAGUGGAGGAGAGAAGUUGGUGUUCUGACUCUCCGUUCUACCACCAAGUUACGGCCGUAUUACGCUAUAUAGCGGCUCAACCGCAGUGUUUCAGUUCAGUUUUAUUGCGGAACGACUGGACAAGCAGUUCAGCCGGACUGUGGGGUACUGGUGUACAGCGGCGGACUGAGAGCUGUGGGAGCUGCGGUUACUAACACUUGUCUUGAGCGGCGCGGCCGGGCUUCGUGUGUUGGUUGAACACGUACGGCGACGGUCCUGAACUUCAUGUCAUGCGGGGACUGUGUUGUCGGCCGCUGUGAGUGCUGGGACUGCUGCGUUUCACCGGAGAGCUUCGUGAACCAGCUGCUCCUGGCUGCCUAUUUUGGGUGAUGGACCACUAGGAAUAUUCUACGGCUGGUCUAGCACCACAGAACCAGCCCACCUGAUUCACCCAAAUGGUGUCAUAUUUCAGUUAAAACACAUUUAACAGACUCGUGUCCAGAACUGUGCAGCAGCAGAUGCGCUACAGUCUAUAACUGUAACGUUAGUGGACCUCAAAAGGUGGAUGGAGCUCAUGAAGUGGACAGAGAGGGAAAUACAAAAUAAAAGUCUCUAAUAAGGUGGACGGUCGGUGUAUGGAAAGAAUAGAGCAGCAGGACGGAGAGCGCCUUUGCUCGAGAACCGUCGCCUAAAGGAUGUACUGAGCAUUCAUGUCUCCAGGGCUGAACUCAAGUGGACAGACAGACAGAUGCCAGUAUCCUUGUUGGUCCUAACCACUGAUACCCGUUCCUAGACGCCUUAUUGUCCACUGAUCUCUAUCUGAGGGGAUACGUCUGCAUGUCCGCCACGUUGGAGCGGUGAAGAUCUGCUUGUGAACAGAUUAAUUUGUAUUGAGAGACGAACAGUCUUGGGAUUGAAUCAACCACAAGUUCCUUUAAUCUCACACACUUUAGCAAAUAUAUAUAUAUAUAUAAUGUA